GUCUUUUUGAGUUUAAUUUAAAGUCUAAUCUGCCCACUGAUAUUUAUUUAAGGGCCGCAGUAUUUUGACUGUGCAAAGGUAGCAUAAUCAUUAGUCUUUUAAUUGAAGGCUUGUAUGAAUGAUUGGACGAGAUAUAUUCUGUCUCAUAAAAAUUUAAAUAGAAUUUUAUUUUUUAGUUAAAAAGCUAAAAUAAUUUUAAAAGACGAGAAGACCCUAUAGAUCUUUAUAAUUUGUUUAUAAUUUUUUUAUGGUUUAUUUUUAAAUUUAUAAAUUAAAUUAUUUUGUUGGGGUGACAAUGAAAUUUGAUAAACUUUCAUUAAUUUAUUACAUUAAUUUAUGGUUAUUUGAUCCAAUAUUAUUGAUUAAAAAUUUAAGUUACCUUAGGGAUAACAGCGUAAUUAUUUUGGAGAGUUCUUAUCGAUAAAAUAGUUUGCGACCUCGAUGUUGGAUUAAGAUUAAUUCUGGGUGUAGCAGUUCAGUUUAUUAAGUCUGUUCGACUUUUAAUUUCUU
rnacentral:rRNA from 1 species